GAGUGAUCGAAAGAUGAAAAGCACUUUGAAAAGAGAGUUAAACAGCACGUGAAAUUGUUGAAAGGGAAGCGWUUGCGACCAGACUCGCCCGCGGGGUUCAGCCGGCACUCGUGCCGGWGUACWYWCCCCGUGGGCGGGCCAGCGUCGGUUUGGGCGGCCGGUCAAAGGCCCUCGGAAUGUAUCACCUCUCGGGGUGUCUUAUAGCCGAGGGUGCAAUGCGGCCUGCCCGGACCGAGGAACGCGYUUCGG
rnacentral:rRNA from 1 species